UACGGGGGAGCAAGCGUUGUUCGGAUUUACUGGGCGUAAAGGGCGCGUAGGCGCCUUCUAAGUCGAACGUGAAAAUCCCCGGGCUCAACCCGGGAACUGCGUCCGAUACUGGAAGGCUUGAAUCCGGGAGAGGGAUGCGGAAUUCCAGGUGUAGCGGUGAAAUGCGUAGAUAUCUGGAGGAACACCGGUGGCGAAGGCGGCAUCCUGGACCGGUAUUGACGCUGAGGCGCGAAAGCCAGGGGAGCAAACGGG
rnacentral:rRNA from 1 species